GACGAACGCUGGCGGCGUGCUUAACACAUGCAAGUCGAACGGAAAGUCCCUGCUUUUGUGGGGUGCUCGAGUUGCGACCGGGUGAGUAACCCUUGGGUUACCUGCCCUUGACUUUGGGAUAACUUCAGGAAACUGGGUCCAAUACCGGAUAGGAUCUCCUGCUGCAUGGUGGGGGUUGGAAAGUUUCGGCGGUUGGGGAUGGACUCGCGGCGUAUCGGCUUGAUGGUUGGGUAGUGGCUUACCAAGGCUUUGACGGGUAGCCGGCCUGGGAGGGUGACCGGCCACAUUGGGACUGAGAUAAGGCCCAGCCUCCUACGGGAGGCAGCAGUGGGGAAUAGUGCACAAUGGGAGGAAGCCUGAUGCAGUAACGCCGCGUGCGGGAUGACGGCAUUCGGGUUGUAGACUGAUUUCGUCUGUGACGAAGCGUGAGUGACGGUAAUGGGUAAAGAAGCACCGGCUAACUACGUG
rnacentral:rRNA from 1 species